rfam:Schistosoma margrebowiei strain Zambia genome assembly, scaffold: SMRZ_scaffold0002805
AUCCAGCUGACAAGUCCCAAAUAAGAUGAAACGCGUGUCCUGGAU